UUGUUUCGGAGUUACGAAGCUGGGAGGUUGACGGGGGAACACCGCCUGUGCCGUUCCGACUCGCGUGGCCUAGCCUGUCGCUUUGUGCGGCCACCUCGGCUCUCUCUGGGGCCCUUGCUCGUCGUCCUCGGGGCGCACGGCGCGCAGGACGGUCCCCGACGUGCCCCGGCAGGCGUCCGCGGCCAGACCCGCCCUCCCCGCGCCCGCGUCCGCUCAGUCUAGUGUUGUGCCGCUCCACCCCGCCACCAUUUUGGUUGUGCCUGGCGCGCUGCUUGCGCCGCCCUGCGUGCGCCGCCCUGGACCCGGGGCGCCUGGUCCCUUGAAGACACUCGCAAGACACCCAUUGCUUUGGAUAAUUUGGAUACCUCUACGUUGUGUGCUAGUCGCGUGCGUGUGUGUGCGCGGCUGAUCGUGUGUGGUUUAGUGACUACAAGAGGACGUGACCAGCUGCGUUCGACUUGUGGGUCUUGUCUGCCAUGCUGACUGCGUCUCGCCCCACCGCCGCCCCAGCCCCC